rnacentral:rRNA from 1 species
UUCGCAAUGCCCGAAAGGGUGACGAAGCGACGCCGCGUGGGUGAGGAAGGCCCUCGGGUUGUAAAGCCCUGUCAGGAGUUAAGAAAUGCAGGUGUGCUAAUAUCACACCUGCUUGACGAAGGCUCCAAAGGAAGUCACGGCUAACUCUGUGCCAGCAGCCGCGGUAAUACAGAGGUGGCAAGCGUUGUUCGGAAUUAUUGGGCGUAAAGAGCACGUAGGUGGGUUUGUAAGUCAGAUGUGAAAGCCUCCUGUUCAACGGGAGAAUUGCAUCUGAAACUACUGAUCUUGAGUGUAGGAGGGGAGAAUGGAACUUCUGGUGGAGCGGUGAAGUGCGUAGAUAUCAGAAGGAACGCCGGCGGCGAAAGCGAUUCUCUGGCCUAUUACUGACACUCAGUGUGCGAAAGCUAGGGGAGCAAACGGGAUUAGAUACCCCGGUAGUCCUAGCUGUAAACGAUGGGCACUAAGUAGAGGGGUUUU